UGGGGAAUCUUGGACAAUGGGCGCAAGCCUGAUCCAGCCAUGCCGCGUGAGUGACGAAGGCCUUAGGGUUGUAAAGCUCUUUUGCCGGGGACGAUAAUGACGGUACCCGGAGAAUAAGUCCCGGCUAACUUCGUGCCAGCAGCCGCGGUAAUACGAAGGGGACUAGCGUUGUUCGGAAUUACUGGGCGUAAAGCGCACGUAGGCGGAUUUGUAAGUCAGGGGUGAAAUCCCGGGGCUCAACCUCGGAACUGCCUUUGAUACUGCAAAUCUCGAGUCCGAUAGAGGUGGGUGGAAUUCCUAGUGUAGAGGUGAAAUUCGUAGAUAUUAGGAAGAACACCGGUGGCGAAGGCGGCCCACUGUAUCGGUACUGACGCUGAGGUGCGAAAGCGUGGGGAGCAAACAGG
rnacentral:rRNA from 1 species